AAUAGAUACCCCGGUAGUCCACGCCGUAAACGAUGAACACUAGGUGUAGGUGAUGUGAAAGUUAUCUGUACCGAAGCCAACGCGUUAAGUGUUCCGCCUGGGGAGUACGGCCGCAAGGCUAAAACUCAAAGGAAUUGACGGGGGCCCGCACAAGCGGCGGAGCAUGCGGAUUAAUUCGAUGCAACGCGAAGAACCUUACCAAGGCUUGACAUAUACGAGAACGCUCUAGAAAUAGAGAACUCUUUGGACACUCGUAUACAGGUGGUGCAUGGUUGUCGUCAGCUCGUGUCGUGAGAUGUUGGGUUAAGUCCCGCAACGAGCGCAACCCUCGUUCUAUGUUGCCAGCGGUUCGGCCGGGAACUCAUAGGAGACUGCCGGGGUCAACUCGGAGGAAGGUGGGGAUGACGUCAAAUCAUCAUGCCCCUUAUGUCUUGGGCUUCACGCAUGCUACAAUGGCCGGUACAAAGGGCUGCAAUACCGUAAGGUGGAGCGAAUCCCAAAAAGCCGGUCUCAGUUCGGAUUGAGGU
rnacentral:rRNA from 1 species